rnacentral:misc_RNA from 1 species
GGAAAAGUUGAUAAAUUAGACAUUUUAUAUAUUAUUAUGGGAAGGUGAUUAAAAUACACCAUUUCACAAUCAUUACACAUAAUUAGAGUUACCAUGAUACUACAUUAAUCAUGGCUUCUCUUUCAAUUAUGUACAGUACAUAUUGAAACUACUUUGCAGUUGAAUCUGGUAGGUCAACAGUAAUCCAUCUCAUUAUGCAACAUGGACCGGGGAGCACCCUCUAUCAAGCAAGAGACUGGUGGAAUAGUUAGUGUCUGCAGUUCUCCAUAUGCAUUCCAACAAAAUGGAUCCAAUACUAGGUCUCCUUGAGCAGGAAGAAGCUCAACAUCUGAGAGCGUCAAGUUGGUGCAAGGGACUGAGUCACUGCAGGCAAAAUGCAUUGGCGGGCUUCGAAUGUUGUAGGUUCCUUUUAUAUUUUCAUAGAGAAUAUCCGAUACAAAAACUGCUGAUGUUUGGUUCGUGCAGUCCUUUGUCAGGCAGUAGAACUGGUCUAUUAUAAUUGGAUUCCUUACAUUGUCCAUGUGAAUAUUGCUGAAUGUUAUUCCUGAUACUGCUCCUGAUCCACCUUGCCAUGUCUUGAUCCUAACUCCAUUAUCCGACACUUUUAUCACCGAGUCUCUAACCGUGAUGUUAGAUACACAGGCUCGUGAGUUGUGAUUGCCUAGACUCCCAAUGCUGAUUCCAUGACUAGGUCCACAGGUGACGUUCCUUAUGUCUACAUCAUAACACCCUGACCCGAUCGAUAUGCAAUCAUCACCAUUGGAGAUUACUGAAUCAUAUAUUUCCACAUUAUUGGUGUUCUCUAUGUGAAUUCCAUCAGUGUUGGGACUUAGGGCAGGAGCAGUAAUGUGAAUGGAUAUUAUAUGAACAUUCUUGCAGUUGUCAAAUCUGAAGUUGAAUUGGGGGCUAUUCUUGAUUCUAAGUCCUUGAACAGUCAAGUUGGAGCUCAUAAAGAACCUAAUGGCUAUUGGACUAUCGCAGGAUCCAGGCAAUGUAGUUCCAUUUAUUCCCUUGUGGGGUUUGCAUGGAAGAUCCCACCAUUUCUCUCCUCUGCCAUCUACUGCACCACCUCCUACUAGGGACAUUUCAUUAAUUCGGUAAAAGACCAGCCAUUGUCUCUUACUGUUCUUUUGUGGCCAGGAGUCUGGUCCAUCAGGAGGCGCAAGAGUCCCAUCAACCUGAAAGUGCAGACCACCUUGACAAGGACCUGUGAAAAUUGUAGACUGAAUCAUGAAUUUGAAGCCAUAAGGAACAAGGAUGACUGCAGAAUUAACUUGGCAGGCUGUUUCCCAUGCCAUCUUGAAUGCAUCAGUAUCAUCUGUUAUGCCAUCGCCAACAGCCCCAAAUUUCCGUACAUCAAAAACCCCAGAAUUGUUGUCGCUCCCAUCAUCGGGCGGACUAGCAGGCUCAGGUGAAGGAGUGAGAGACAGAUUAACAGAUUCAGGCGCAGGAGUUGGAGGUUCUGAAAGAUUAGAAGAUUCAGGUGGAGUAGAGGGAGGUUCUGAAGCAUAUUCAGGAGGAGAAGAGGGAGGUUGUGAAAUUGCGGAUACUUUGUGAGAAUGGGUGUGUUUAUGUUUUGUAUGGUAAUGCCACCUAGCUUGAGUGGUGUAAAGGAAGAAGCAAAGAAAGGAAAUGCAGAAAACAAGUAAUGACACACGAGAACAACCCAUUUUGGGCUCAACUUGGAAAAAUUCAGAAACUAAAGAAACGAUGGAGAAUUCUAUUGAAAAUUGCUGGAACUCAAAAUACACCAGUUCAAAAUUGCUUUGUCUCUAUCACUUACUAAAUACUAGAUCAAGAAACUAUAUCUGACAAAGGAAAUGCACCCUAAAUUAUGGGAAGUUGAAAGAAGCAAGCUAGUGGGUUUGUUUUAACGGUUUAAGUGUACAGUGCACUAUGAGCACUAGAGCAACUUGCUAAAGAUUUGGCCUUGGAAUGCAUGCAGAAUCAGAAAGGCUGAAUCCCA